UGAAACGUCAUAUGCUGGGAAAGGAUGUAGACAGAAAUGUGAGCACUCGGCGUGGUUUGGAAAUAUAGCACUACACUGUUCCUAUUGCUGUUUGUAAGAGCUAUCAAACAUGUCUACCGCAAAGCACAGGAUGCGCAAUAAGAAGAUGAGGAACCAGCCCAGCAACAUCACCUUCUCCACACCGGGACAGGGCAGCUCACAUUGGAGGAAUGGAGGAGACACCCCUAUAGGUCGAGGUCACGAUCCCUCUACGCAUCCAAGGGGCCAGGGGUCUUCUCACUCAGGCCAUGCCCAAGAAGGGGGCUGGGUCCGGGGUCACCAGCGAGGGCAGGCAGGCUACUCGCAGGAGCUGCCCCAGCAUAUUACUGCUUCAACGUUCGCCAAGGCCCGGGCCGCAGAGGUGAUGGCCAUGCUGAAAGCUGUCACCAAGACGACGGGCAGCACCCAUGUAUUUGGCGCCCUUCCCAAACACAUGAGAAGGAGGGCCAUGAGUCAUAACACCAAGAGGCUACCCUGCCGGCUGCGAGAGACAGCCAACAAGAUGUUGAUGAGAAGCCAGAAAAGUGGCCAGAAGGAGAAGAAGGAACAGUCCAAGAGCAAGAGCCGGAAAGCCCGUCGGCGCCACGGCAACAUGCUUCUGGAGUUCAACAGGCGCCAGCGGAAGAACUUGUGGCUGGAGACGCACAUUUGGCACGCCAAGCGCUUCCACAUGGUCAAGAAGUGGGGCUACUGCCUGGGGGACAGGCCCACGUACAAAUGUUACCGAGCCUGCUACAGGGCCAUGAGCAGCCAUUGUUUGCUGCAGGACCUGUCCUAUUACUGUUGUGUGGAACUACAGGGACCAGAGGAACAGCUUCUAACAGCCCUGUCUAACAUGACCAGUAAGGAAGCUGGACAUACUUUUGCUGCUGCUAUAUGCCUGUCUGGCAGGAAACAGGGCAGUGUGGUGUUGUACAGGGCAGGACAGUACCCUCUCCAGCCACUCGGGCCAGUCUCCUUCCUCUGGAGACCAAGAACAACGGGCCAGAACCAGGAGGGCCAGGGUGCAACACACCGACAGCUGUGGAUCUGGACACAUCCCACCAUGAAACAGGACCUCAUCCCAGAGCUGCAGGCUGUCUGCCAGUGUUCAGAGGCUGUGGCUCCACCUGCUCCGGUGGAGCUCCCCGCACCCCAGCCGGCCCCCCAGCCGGCCCCCCAGCCUCCCCUGGUUCCUGGUUCGAAGAGGAAGCAGCCAUCGGGGGAGGACGUUGCUGCUGGCCCACCAGCGAAGAAGAUCCUGGGGUUCAGCACCAGGCACCCGUCCACACCCCUCACCUGGAGGUCCGGUACCACCGGAAUAGUCAUCAGUGACCUCACCAUGGAGAUGGUGCGCUAUCGUCUGAUUGGACCGUCAUCACAUUCCGUUCUGACUGAAGCCCUGGUGCCAGCCACUCUCUAUGCUGCUCCUAGUGAAGCGGGACCUUCUUCCUUAUGGUGGCCGGAGCACUGCAAAGACCACAGCAACACGUCUCUACUCCAACAGCAAGCUGGGGUCUUCAACCUGCUCAGAGGUGUGUACUCCACAGCAGAGGUCCCUGCUGGGUCUGUCCUGGGCUUGGUGGUGGAUGACCCCAGGUUGACCUUACCCGACAAGCGGAGCAAGGCCGUGCCCGAUGUCAGGAAGCAACCAGAGAAGGACGAGGAGAGGAGGGAACUGAUGUUGAAGGGGAUCCCUGAACACCUCAGCCAGAGUUCUCUAUGGGACCGUUCGGUCCGCGACACCGUCACCUUCAACAAGAUGACGGAUCAGGAAAUAAACAAACUGCGUAAUGAAUUGCUGGUGCCAGGCUCCAGGCUACCCACCCCACUGCAGGGCCGAGUACCCAUCCUCCUGGUGCAGCAGCCUGGGAAAAGCAGGGGUACAGAGAUGGGUUCCUGGGGGACAGGAUGGGACCUGCUGCUGCCCAAGGCCUGGGGAAUGGCCUUCUGGGUGCCCCUUGUUUAUAGGGGAGUGUGUAUUGGAGGGCUGAGGAUGAGUCUGAAACACGCCCAGAAUAAAGGAGAGCCUCACUUCCCCGACGACUACCCAGACUGCCCUGCAGGAGCACGAUUCCAGGAGGAGCAGGAAGCUGAGCUGCUGGCCAAGUUUAGACGACGCCCACCCGCCAAACGGACCAAUUACAUCAAACAUGGCUGCCUGGCUCCCUUUCGUUGUCCUUGGCAACAGCUGGCCGAGGAGUGGGAGAUGAUUGUAAGGGAGGGAGAAGAGACCACCCCCAUGGCGAGUGCACCAAUGGAACAGGACAUCUCUCAUCUGGGUGACACCAAGCCACCACAGAGCUUCACAGUCUUGAGGAACAGGAAGUAUCUGAGGCAGCUUUCUGGUUGGUGUCGACCCACUUCCACAAAAGGUCAGAGGGCAAGAAAACUGGGAUCAACCCCACCUCUAGAUGGUGUUGCCGCCGCGUCCCUCCUCGCGGCCGCUGGUGGCUGCGCUCUUGUGUGGACCCGUUUGUCUCUCCUCACCAAGGGCCAACCAGAGCAGCACGGCCUGGUGUGCGUCCCCACUGCGGAGGACCUCCAGCUGGUACUCAAGGAGCCGGGCUGCACUGGCCCCCAGGAGCCCCUCCACACUGACCACUUCAAGGCCCGUGUCAAACAGCCACGCAAGAAAGACAAGCUUAGAGCCACCGCUUCCAAGCCGGACAGCAAGCAGUCUGAACCUACUGCAACUGCCAGCGUCCUCCCUGGUCCUAGCUCCUCCCCUUCCACCCUGGGUCUGUGGCCAGAACCGCUCCCCAGUGUGACCUCCCACUGUUCCAGGGUGACCCUGGGCUGGGUGACCCAGGGGGACUUCUCCCUCACGGCCGGUUGCGGCGAGGCCCUGGGCUUCCUGAGCCUCUCAGGGCUGCUCCACACGUUCCUCAGGCAACCUGCCGGUCAAAGAGGCCUGGUCCUGCUCCGAAACCCUGGGUCGCUGCAGUACCGCUUCGCCAAGAUCGACAUCGAGACCUGAAACCUCACCUGCUGCGGAAACGGCUUCUACGCACAGCCGGACGCUGAGUGUUGUGUGAGGGAGCAGGCAUUAUGCUUAUGAUGAUGCAUCUGACAUUUGCGUUCCUUUGCUGAAGCAUUGUGCCUUGUGCUAAUCCUUUCAUUUCAGGGUAUUAGAGAUGUGCAGAUGUAUACAGAAUGCACUGCACACAGUUGGAGAAAACUGUUCGCUUGACAUUGACUGGAGCGAAACUGCUCAGUUGAAAUCAAUACUGCGCCAAUGAGUCGUCCUGCCUGAAGCUGCUUCUGCCACGAUUCCACCGUGUGGGUGUUAUCAGAGUCCUGUUGCUUGGCAACUCUACAGAAUUAAGCACCUCUGGAGAAAAUCUGUUCAUUCAUGGAUUGUGUGUGUGGAUGACCUGAGGUGAAUACAGGUGUAGGACCAUUAAUAGCAGUCAGUUUGGCAAAUAAACAUCAAUUACAUGUGAUUUAAAAAGUUGCAAUGUGAAAAAAAAUAAAAAUAAUUCCAACUAUGUUGUAGUUG